rnacentral:rRNA from 1 species
AUUGAACGCUGGCGGCAGACCUAACACAUGCAAGUCGAACGAGUGGCGGACGGGAGAGUUAUGUCUGGGAACCGGCCUGAUGGAGGGGGAUAACUACUGGAAACGGUAGCUAAUACCGCAUAGCAUAGGAUGUGCCCCGAUGGGAUUAGCUAGUUGGUGGGGUAACGGCGCACCACGGCGACGAUCCCUAGCUGGGCUGAGAGGAUGACCAGCCACACUGGAACUUAGACACGGGCCAGACUCCUACGGGAGGCAGCAGUGGGGAAGAUUGGACAAUGGGCGAAAGCCUGAUUCAGCCAUGCCGCGUGUAUGAAGAAGGCCUUCGGGUUGUAAAGUACUUUCAGUGGGGAGGCGUUACCCGCAGAAGAAGCACCGGCUAACUCCGUGCCAGCAGCCGCGGUAAUUC